AAAUGAACGCAUGAAGAAUAGCUUUGUUUGCAUUCUGGUAACUGCUGAGGCUUUGGCUGACGACAGCUUUCAGCUGCACCUGAACUAGGCUGGAUUUGUCUCCUGCUCUCCAUAGGUGAGUAAUUUCUCUUGCAGACCUUUGAAUCAAUGAUUCCCCUGCUAUUUGUCUCUUCUGGUUGCUGGAGAGAAGAGCUCCAAUGUCACAUCCUGAUCCGUAAGGGCUGCAGGUGCCUGCUGGUUCACGGGACAUGCCAGAGCUUUGUACACAGCUUAAGUGAUGGAACAGGAAAGACUCCAGUAUGGUAACAACGUGAUUUCUAGUGUUUUGGGUGUAAGAGAAUGAACUCUGUAGGAGCGCUGCUGUCAUAGGCCACCAAGGGCCCGGGAUGCCUGGCUGAAAUUGGAUGUUGCAGAUACCUUGGUGUCACUGGAAUCCAUGGAGCUGACACAGUCCUCUGAUGGCUGGAUUUCUGCUUGCUAAGGGUAUUCCUUCUGGUUUCUUGGCUUUUCAGGUGAUUUUUGCUUUGCUUUCCUUGGCUUUUUAGUACUUCCUCCUUCUGUUAUUGCUCCUGGCUUUGUUUUGCUUUGCUCUUUGGUUUUUCUUUUGUACCUUUGCCUUGCAUUGCUCGAGAAUUUUGGUUUCUUCCUUCUCUUCAGUGCUAAGCAUUGGUGAGUGUUUUUCUCUUUGUACUGUGUUUGGCUUCUUUGGUUUGCCACGAUAUACACGAGUAAAGCAAAUGAAUGGAAUGCAGUAUGGUGACUUGUUUGAAUUGCUUUGUCUUCCUCGUUUGGUUGUUUUUCCCCUGUUGCUUUUCAGUAGUGCGCCUUUUGCUUUGCUUUCCAUUGUCUUUGUGUCUGGUUGGUUUUUUUUGGUUCUUUGUUCUCGUUACCUGUUCCUUUCUUUGCAUUAGCUUCUUCCUCCCAGAGGAGAGCAUUCCUUGCCUUUUCAGAGGAUGGUUCUUGGCUUUGCUUGGAGUUUCUCCCUUGCUCUUCAUUCUUGGUUGCCUUACCUGGCUUUGCCUUCCUUGUCCCCUUGCCCCGGCCUUGCUCUUCCUUUGCCUUCACUUACCUGAUGUGCUCUCUCCCUUGAUUGUUCUCUUCUGUCUGUUCCUUUCUGGCUUCUUGAACUGCAGCCUCCUCUCUGGGCUUUCCUGCCGUGCUUGAUGCAUUUGCAGCUCCUUGGAGUUUCCCAGGUGGGUCCACGCCUCCUGGGCCUCCUUGCCUCUUCCCUUGUGGUGCUCUUGUGGCUUUUUCUCCAGCUGGCUGGAUCCAUGCGGGCCUAUUGCCCCAUUUUCUCGGCAUUGGUGUAUGUGGAUUGUUCUCUGUCAUCUUCCCAGGCCUAGAUGCUGAGCUUUUGCCUCUUCCAGACUCUGUUGUCAUCUUUGCUUUUCCGUGAGAGUGUAUUCUGUUCUGUUAUCGUUGGUUGCUUGUUUUUGAAUGUGGUGUUUGUUGUUGUUUCAUUUAUUGUUAUGGGCUUUCUUUGAUGUGCGUGGGGUUUUUUGUUCUUUUUUUCAGUUUGGUGCUCUUUUUUUUUCUUUGCUGUUCCUUUCUUUGCACUGUAUUUUUUUCCUAGCAGCGUUUCUAUUCCUUUCUCUUCUACUAGAAAUUGUAGCUCCUAACACUAAUCCAAAUGUAUAAACCACAAGUCUGAACUCUCAAUCACACAGGUGUAUGGGAACUGUAUAAUCACAGCCUGACCCUCUGUUUCACCACCUGAGGCGAGUGCUGAGUCAGCUGCAGGGGCACAGGUGAUGGCAGUUUCACCUGAGUGACCGGAAGGGGUGGACCCUGGCUGCAGCCCUGCUAGACCCCAUGUAAGGGCUGACUCCCAAGGAGGAAGGAUCUCUACCUGGAGGUCACCCUUAGUGGAGCCCUUCUGCGCGCCCAGGAUACGGGGACCUCCUUUGACCCAGGCCUCCAACGGAAGUGUACCACUGGUUAACCCAGAAUGGCAACUGUAGACCAAGGCUAUCACAGGCACAGUUUUCCUUUACCCAGGGAGCGGAAAGGAAUCAGUCCAGUAAAUGAAGAUGGAACUGCUUACCCCUUUGUGAGGAAGAGGGCUCACACCGUACUAAACAAGAACAGAAUUUGAAGCAGUGAUCCUUCCCUUGGGGCAGCCAGCCCUGAUAUGAGGUGAGGGAGGGGUGGAACCAGGCUGCCCCCCUUUGUCAUCCAGGUGAAUUGCUUCCCUCUUUUUGCUCCUGAGCAGAACAAGAUUUGAUGAGGAGGAAAGCCUGUGAAGUCCAACAAGACUGCUUUCAUACUUCCUUCCCGUUUGUGUUAGCUGGCUGUCACGGAGUGAUCUAGAUCAGUGUAUGCCUGUGGCGGGGCAGUGGGCCUGUUUUCCUGUGUUUGGCUUCCUUGCUUUGCCAUGAUGCUGUCUUGAGUUCAUGUGCUGGACUCUUGUAUUGCAUGUCUUUGUUUUGCUUUGCUCUGUUUUCCUUGUUGUUUGCCGUUCUUUUGUCAGUCUUGCUUUAUUGCUGCUCCUGUAUUGCAAUACCUUGGUUUUGUUCAGAUGUGGUGAUGGAUACUUUUCCCUUUCCCAUUCUUGGAACUCUUUUCUCCCUCCUUCAUGGUGUUCCUCUUUGUUUCUCGGCUGUUCAGGUGAUUGUGCUUUGCCUUCCUUGGCUUUUUGGUCUUAACUCUUUUGGUUCUUGUUCCUGGAUUUGCUUUCCUCUUCGGCUUUCCUUUUGUAUCUUUGCCUUGCAUUGCUUGUGAAUUUCCUUUUUUUCCGUGCUAUGCACUGUGCGAUGUUCAGGGGUGGUUAAAGGUACGAGGUGCAUGUAUAUGUAGAAGAAAAGCUCUCCUGCUGUGGCUGAGAGUUGAUCCGAAGGAGGCCUCCCGAGCAAGCACCACAAAGGCAGCUUGCUUCUCCAGAGGCUGCAGCAUAAGCUCGUGUUUCUUGUGAAGGACUCUGUUGUGCAUCUGCAGGAGCUGCUUUGGCAUGGAGGAUUUUCUGGAGUUGCUGCCAGUCGUUGCUGGAAAAGAAGCGUGACUUGUGGGCUCUGAGGAGGGGAUUUCGUGUUUUCAUGGCGUACGAAUGCAUUCCCUUUUCUGUGGAAGUGACCAACCAUCUGCACAGGACGCACUGCGGUUUGGCAGCCAUCCCACACUGCCAGUCUUGGCCAGAGGAACACAGACAGCGCCGACAACUGGCAUGCCAGGGGUGGAUGCUGGGAAAAACACAAGGGCUGUGCUUCAGGAGUUUCUGCAGGUGCACUUCACCCUAGUGAUCGCAGUGCUUGUAACUGUGCUGCUGUCUGGGCUGGUGAUGACCUGUAUUGCUGUGUCGUGGAUGUGGCACAAAUAUCCAGUGUGCAAGAGGGCAGAGACAGCUCCAGGACAAGCUCAUCCUGAGAGUGACCGGGAGAGAGGCCAAUCUGGAGGUGAAGGCAGAGCGGAGCUGGGAGAGGCAACAGAAGAUGCCGUAGUUGCCCAAGAAAAAAAGAAUGUGUCCAGCGGAUCCAGCCCGUUCCCCUCCUCCUUUGAAGCAGAGUUUGAACAGCUGUGCAGCAAAAUCAGCACAGACCCUUCCCCUUUGGCCCACGUGUCCCAGCAGCUCUCCCACGGACGGCGUCUCUUCCCCAGAUGCCCGCGGUUCUCGGGGUUCCCCAUAGCCAUCUAGUGCCCCGGUUACCUGUGUCAGCAGGGCUGGGGUCCCCUGGAAGACCCCGCUUUGUGAGUAAUAGACACCCUGUCCAAAAGCAGCUGUUUUGAGCAUUUCCAUGGG
ensembl:lncRNA